UUUUUUUUAAACUUUAUUUAUUUUAAUCUCUUUUAGUUGUAGUUGGGCACAAUACCUUUAUUUUAUUUAUUUAUUUAUUUUUAUGUGAUGCGGAGGAUCCAACCCAGCACCUUGCACAUGCUAGGUGAACAUUCUACCGCCGAACCCCCACUGAGCUACAUUUUUAUUUUUCAUUUUGAGACAGGGUCUUGCUAAAUUGCAGAAGCUGGUUCAAACUUGCUUCUGCCUCAGUCUCCCUUGUAGUUGGGAUUACAUGUUGGCCACAACAUUCAGUUUUUUUCUUUACUUCUUUUUCAAUAAAGGCCCAAUUCAAAUGAGAAGAAUUGAAUUAUAUAAACUAAAACUCCUUUCCCCAUUCUGCUCUCAUACACACAUGCACAGAGGCACCUGUGUUGUGUCUUCACACAGCUAAAUGAAAUCCCCAGGCCUCCCAAGUCCAGGUUACAGAUUUACUCACUCCUUUGCAACCCUUAAAAUGCAAAGUUAUUUUGCAGGAAAGAGGAGGAGAUGUAAGCAUCUCUCCAAGUCCUCUGCCUAGCCUCGGUCCAGCUGUGCAAAGCUCACACCCUAGCACCUCCACACUUGACUCCCUUUUAUUUGUCAGAGGGGCACAAAGGCAGAAGUAGCAGCCCAGGAACCACCCCUUACCCCUAGUUGAACUCCAUCUUUUGGAUCUGAAGACCCCUACCUAUCCCAGUUGACGUGGUUUCAAUGUUGCUGCUGUCAGCAGUCAUGGAUGUUUUUCAGGCCUGAGCAUGUAGUGGGAGACACAGGAGUAGUAGAGGGUUGCUCUGGUGUGCUGUUGAGAAGACUCCCAGGUCUGCUUCAUGCAGACUGUCUGAACUUUAGCAAAUUCCUUUACCCCUCUUGGCCUAAGUUUCCACAUCUUUGAAACCUCUGAGAAUUUGUUUGUGUGGAUUAAAUCAUAUCUGCAUUUAGCAUACUCAGUUCCAUAAUACCAUCUUUUUCAGUCAGAGCCUGAGUCUCUGACUCUGAUGUAACUCAAAUGCAGUGAACAAGAUUCUUCUACCCCUCUGUGGAAAGCAUCCCUAUGAAAAAUCCAUCCAAA
rnacentral:lncRNA from 1 species